rnacentral:rRNA from 1 species
CUGUGAGCUCGAUGAGUAGGGCGGGACACGUGGUAUCCUGUCUGAAUAUGGGGGGACCAUCCUCCAAGGCUAAAUACUCCUGACUGACCGAUAGUGAACCAGUACCGUGAGGGAAAGGCGAAAAGAACCCCGGCGAGGGGAGUGAAAAAGAACCUGAAACCGUGUACGUACAAGCAGUGGGAGCACAGAGCAAUCUGUGUGACUGCGUACCUUUUGUAUAAUGGGUCAGCGACUUAUAUUCUGUAGCAAGGUUAACCGAAUAGGGGAGCCGAAGGGAAACCGAGUCUUAACUGGGCGUUAAGUUGCAGGGUAUAGACCCGAAACCCGGUGAUCUAGCCAUGGGCAGGUUGAAGGUUGGGUAACACUAACUGGAGGACCGAACCGACUAAUGUUGAAAAAUUAGCGGAUGACUUGUGGCUGGGGGUGAAAGGCCAAUCAAACCGGGAGAUAGCUGGUUCUCCCCGAAAGCUAUUUAGGUAGCGCCUCGUGAAUUCAUCUCCGGGGGUAGAGCACUGUUUCGGCAAGGGGGUCAUCCCGA